AUCAAAGCAAUAUCCUUGAAUUAAAAAUAGGCAGUAGAAGCUGGAUUUUGAGUGAAAUCUGUCAGAGAGGACUCAAAGAAAUUGCGAAGUUGAGCAGGUGGGGUUAUCAUGGAGCUUUCCUCUCCACCUACAGCAGGGGCACAGUGGGCUUCACUGGCUCAGAAGAGCAGCCCAGCAUGCAGCUGUGCCUCCUGAAAGCCGCUGGGAAUAAGGCUUUGCUCACCUGCCUGCACAUAAUGCAGACUGAAAGCACACAACUGCUCUGCUGUGGGACUGACUGAACGACCCAGGGUUUGAUGAAUUGUGAUUCAAUUCAACAGCUCCUGACAAGGUCAGAGGCAGCAUCCUCUGCAGCCACAGAGUGGAAUGCCAUUGCUGUCCCUCUCCCUGCACCAAGUGGAUUAGCAGAUGGAAACAACUCCUAUGUACUUUUAACUGGCAAAGGUUCCAGAAAUAUCUGGCACACGAGGAUUCCACAGCCACCCUCAUUGAUCCCCAGCCACCACUUAAUUGAAUUAUAACACCAUAAAUAAUCUGGAGGGUAUCUCAGAGGUGCAGUUGUGAGCCUUCAAGUGAACAGAAUGCCUUAUGCUUAAGACAGUUGUUUAUUUUGGAAAUAAUAUGGGAAGAUUUCAGAGAAGAGAAAGUGAAGUUUCACCUGCCUUGGGAGUGCAUGAGGAGAGGAAUACAAUGUUUUAAUUAAACACAUUUAUAGAACAGAGUCUGGCAGAGCGUAUUUCUCCUGUUGUUGGGAAAACAAUGGCAUUCUCCCCUCUUUUGUUAUACUACCUAGGAAAAUGAAUAAUUUCCUUUAUCCGUUGUUUUAAUAAAAUGUUUAUAUUUUUAUCA
rnacentral:lncRNA from 1 species